AAACAGAGAGUUCGACAGCAGAAUAAGAGCUUGCUCUUAUGAAGUUAAGCGGCGGACGGGUGAGUAACACGUGGGUAACCUACCCAUAAGACUGGGAUAACUCCGGGAAACCGGGGCUAAUACCGGAUAAUAUUUUGAACUGCAUAGUUCGAAAUUGAAAGGCGGCUUCGGCUGUCACUUAUGGAUGGACCCGCGUCGCAUUAGCUAGUUGGUGAGGUAACGGCUCACCAAGGCAACGAUGCGUAGCCGACCUGAGAGGGUGAUCGGCCACACUGGGACUGAGACACGGCCCAGACUCCUACGGGAGGCAGCAGUAGGGAAUCUUCCGCAAUGGACGAAAGUCUGACGGAGCAACGCCGCGUGAGUGAUGAAGGCUUUCGGGUCGUAAAACUCUGUUGUUAGGGAAGAACAAGUGCUAGUUGAAUAAGCUGGCACCUUGACGGUACCUAACCAGAAAGCCACGGCUAACUACGUGCCAGCAGCCGCGGUAAUACGUAGGUGGCAAGCGUUAUCCGGAAUUAUUGGGCGUAAAGCGCGCGCAGGUGGUUUCUUAAGUCUGAUGUGAAAGCCCACGGCUCACCCGUGGAGGGUCAUUGGAAACUGGGAGACUUGAGUGCAGAAGAGGAAAGUGGAAUUCCAUGUGUAUCGGUGAAAUGCGUAGAGAUAUGGAGGAACACCAGUGGCGAACGCGACUUUCUGGUCUGUUACUGACACUGAGGCGCGAAAGCGUGGGGGAGCAAACAGGAUUAGAUACCCUGGUAGUCCUCCCCGUAAACGACGAGUGCUAAGUGUAAGAGGGUUUCCUCCCUUUAGUGCUUGACGUCAACUCAUUAAGCACUCCGCCGGGGUAGUACAGUCGCACGGCUGGAACUCAAAACAAAUGACGGGGCCCCGCACCAGCCGGUGGAGCGUGCGUUUAAUUCUAAAAAACGCGAAGACCUUACCAGGUCUUGGCGUCGACCGAUUAUUCUAAAGUAGAGCUUCUCUUCUCGACAGAAUGAGCGUCGUGCUAGGUAGUCAUGGCUCGUGCUCUGAAUGUUGGUUAUGUCCCGCACGACGCACCUUGAUCUACUUGCUUCUUUAUUCGAUCUCAAUGUGAUGGCGUGACAACUGGACGAAGGUGAGAGAGCGGACGCUGCAUGCCCCCUAUGAGCUGGAGU
rnacentral:rRNA from 1 species